rnacentral:rRNA from 1 species
AACGAACGCUGGCGGCAGGCCUAAAAACAUGCAAGUCGAACGGGUGUAGUAAUACAUCAGUGGCGCACGGGUGAGUAACGCGUGGGAACGUGCCCUUCAGUACGGGACAACGUCGGGAAACUGACGCUAAUACCGUAUAAUAUCUCCGGAUCAAAGAUUUAUCGCUGAAGGAUCGGCCCGCGUCUGAUUAGUUUGUUGGUGAGGUAACGGCUCACCAAGACUACGAUCAGUAGCUGGUCUGAGAGGAUGAUCAGCCACACUGGGACUGAGACACGGCCCAGACUCCUACGGGAGGCAGCAGUUAGGAACAUUGGACAAUGGGGGAAACCCUGAUCCAGCCAUGCCGCGUGUGUGAUGAAGGCCUUAGGGUUGUAAAGCACUUUCGUUGGGGAUGAUAAUGACCGUACCCAAAGAAGAAGCACCGGCUAACUUCGUG